rnacentral:ncRNA from 1 species
GCAACCUGAAGCUGGCGGCCGAGUACCCCAGCGUGUUCCGCUCGCUGCUGGGGAUUUCGUGGAUGUGGUUCUUUGGCGCGGUCUUCCUGUCGCAGUUCCCUGCGUUCGCCAAGGAGGUGCUG